ACGGUACUGUGUGUACGACUGAUUUAGUGAGACACAAAUAAGACAGAAGUGCUAAUGAACGGUAUAUUACUACAGCUUUCACUACUGUUGAUGCACCGAGCAGCCUUGUUGGAUUUUGAGGUCUGUGUAAUGUGUAGGGGAUGGAA